AGCUCUCCACUCAGGCCAGACUGGCCACUCCUCACGCAUACAACCACGGUGCAGUUGACCUCGAAACAGCGAGUUUCACCUCACACUGACUUCACGGUCAACCUAUUUUCAACCAGACUGCCUAAUGGAGGAGCUGAGUGAUGCUGAGACGUGAUAGGUGCCCGUCCAGAACCAUGCAUUUGAUUGUGGGAGGAAGGACAUACAUAUGCGUGAACUGUGUGCGGAUAGAGAUGGAUGCCCUGCCCCACUUGAGCAUUCAGAGAGAGGAGGGAGGUGGAGAUCCAGCCGAUCAGGGCUGAGUGAUGGUAUAUGAGCGCAGGCUGUGAACGAUGAGAGCUCCGCUUGGCUGGAUCAUUUAUACUGGGCCUCGUGGAGAACAAACAUAUGUAUCUCAAAGCCAUCAGAGACACUCCAAGGCUGGUCUGAGCACGAGCACACGCAAACACAGAAGGAAACAGCAAGCACACUCUAGGACAUUGUACGUAUCAAGUGGCAGCUCCUACCUCCUGAAGGGCAAAACUCACCUUUUCUCUGUUUUACUGUCCGACAUCUAGUGGAAAAGCUAGUAACGU